AUGCCUGACACGAAGAAGACUUGGAUUGCGUCAUACCAUCUAACAAAUGUGGCUGCCCUUUGGUAUGGCCAUCUAGAGGAGAAGAUUGGCCGGCCAACUUGGGCAGACUUUGUUGCGCGGGUCAGCCAGCACUUUGGCCCUCCCACACAUGCCAAUCCCUUGGAUGAGCUCAUCUCCCUUAGUCGUAUCGGCUCGGUGGCGGUCUGGCGGAGUAUACCAAACAGUUCCUCCAACUCUUGUCCCGCAUCAACCCCAUCCCAGAUGACGAGGAGCGCAACAUCUUCACCAAUAAUCUGGGCGAGCCACUAA
rnacentral:rRNA from 1 species